rnacentral:rRNA from 1 species
GAUGAACGCUAGCGGGAGGCCUAACACAUGCAAGCCGAGCGGUAGAAAGUAGCUUGCUACUUUUGAGAGCGGCGUACGGGUGCGGAACACGUGUGCAACCUGCCUUUAUCUGGGGAAUAGCCUUUCGAAAGGAAGAUUAAUGCCCCAUAACAUAUUGAUUGGCAUCAAUUAAUAUUGAAAGCUCCGGCGGAUAGAGAUGGGCACGCGCAAGAUUAGCUAGUUGGUGAGGUAACGGCUCACCAAGGCGAUGAUCUUUAGGGGGCCUGAGAGGGUGAUCCCCCACACUGGUACUGAGACACGGACCAGACUCCUACGGGAGGCAGCAGUGAGGAAUAUUGGACAAUGGGUGCAAGCCUGAUCCAGCCAUCCCGCGUGAAGGAUGACGGCCCUAUGGGUUGUAAACUUCUUUUAUACAGGGAUAAACCUACUUACGUGUAAGUAACUGAAGGUACUGUAUGAAUAAGCACCGGCUAACUCCGUG